ACUGUCUAAUAGCGAUAGCCUUUUGAUUGCAGGCAGGUGAAUAAAACCACAGAAGACUUAGUGGACGUAAACUAGUUGGGAAAUAAAAGACUAUGAGUCCAUACUAAACAAAUCAUCCUGCCUUUCAAAGCUCCAUAUCACUCUUGUCAGAUGUCCACUAGUACUCAUCCAACAGAGCUGGACCACAGCUGUCCAUUGAACGGCAAAGCAGUAUAUUUUUUGUGGAAGAUGAACCACUGUCGUUGAUAAUGACUUUGAAGAAGAAGAUCAUACGACACAUUUGCAAAAGAACAACGAGUGCUAUUGGCUGUGAUCCCUAGUGUUUGCUCAAAGAUCCCAAAUUAUUGAGACUUGAUAGAGCUUUUCCGCCUGACGUUGCCAAUCAUUGCCAAAUUACUAAAGGAAAGAAGAGGGAGCACUCAAAAAGUCUCCAGAAUGUCAACGACCUUGAUAUGCUUUCUUGUCUUCCUAUCACUGAUAGUAGAACCAGUGGACCUUGCCGACGUUGAUGGUAAUUGGAGUUCUUGGAGCCCGUGUUCAAAAACCUGUGACACGGGAACAGUGCAAAGAUCUUUUACGUGUAAAGGCAGCAGUUGUAAAAACAAAACCGAAACCAAGGCGUGCAUGAAAAGACCCUGUAAAG